UACGGAGGAUUCGAGCGUUAUCCGGAUUUAUUGGGUUUAAAGGGAGCGUAGGCGGGUUGUUAAGUCAGUUGUGAAAGUUUGCGGCUCAACCGUAAAAUCGCAGUUGAUACUGGCAUCCUUGAGUACAGUAGAGGUAGGCGGAAUUCGUGGUGUAGCGGUGAAAUGCUUAGAUAUCACGAAGAACUCCGAUUGCGAAGGCAGCCUGCUGGACUGUAACUGACGCUGAUGCUCGAAAGUGUGGGUAUCAAACAGG
rnacentral:rRNA from 1 species